AGAGUUUGAUCCUGGCUCAGGAUGAACGCUAGCUACAGGCUUAACACAUGCAAGUCGAGGGGCAUCAGGAAGAAAGCUUGCUUUCUUUGCUGGCGACCGGCGCACGGGUGAGUAACACGUAUCCAACCUGCCCUUUACUCGGGGAUAGCCUUUCGAAAGAAAGAUUAAUACCCGAUGGCAUAAUGAUUCCGCAUGGUUUCAUUAUUAAAGGAUUCCGGUAAAGGAUGGGGAUGCGUUCCAUUAGGUUGUUGGUGAGGUAACGGCUCACCAAGCCUUCGAUGGAUAGGGGUUCUGAGAGGAAGGUCCCCCACAUUGGAACUGAGACACGGUCCAAACUCCUACGGGAGGCAGCAGUGAGGAAUAUUGGUCAAUGGGCGCUAGCCUGAACCAGCCAAGUAGCGUGAAGGAUGAAGGCUCUAUGGGUCGUAAACUUCUUUUAUAUAAGAAUAAAGUGCAGUAUGUAUACUGUUUUGUAUGUAUUAUAUGAAUAAGGAUCGGCUAACUCCGUGCCAGCAGCCGCGGUAAUACGGAGGAUCCGAGCGUUAUCCGGAUUUAUUGGGUUUAAAGGGAGCGUAGGUGGACUGGUAAGUCAGUUGUGAAAGUUUGCGGCUCAACCGUAAAAUUGCAGUUGAUACUGUCAGUCUUGAGUACAGUAGAGGUGGGCGGAAUUCGUGGUGUAGCGGUGAAAUGCUUAGAUAUCACGAAGAACUCCGAUUGCGAAGGCAGCUCACUGGACUGCAACUGACACUGAUGCUCGAAAGUGUGGGUAUCAAACAGGAUUAGAUACCCUGGUAGUCCACACAGUAAACGAUGAAUACUCGCUGUUUGCGAUAUACAGUAAGCGGCCAAGCGAAAGCAUUAAGUAUUCCACCUGGGGAGUACGCCGGCAACGGUGAAACUCAAAGGAAUUGACGGGGGCCCGCACAAGCGGAGGAACAUGUGGUUUAAUUCGAUGAUACGCGAGGAACCUUACCCGGGCUUAAAU
rnacentral:rRNA from 1 species